rnacentral:lncRNA from 1 species
CUCAGAGUGAAUUGCUGUAUCUGAUUCAGAGAACCAAGGAGGUGAUGCCCCCCGGAUCCUCCAUGCCUGAUACAGUUUCCAGAAAACAACAGCCCUCACUUAAGAUGAAAUCAUAGAGUGGCUACAGAAAAAUGGGAUUGCUUGUCGACUCUAACUGAACCAGAAGCUAAGCCUACAUAUUUCAUGAAGAAACUGAAUGUGGGAGAUAAAUAUGAUGUAAACUUGGGAGCUACUCAUGAGGACAAAUUAAAAAAAAUGGAUCUAAAGAUGGUACCAGAGAUUUUCCUCUUUGUUGCUACACUUUUACCUUUGGUAACCAUUUCUGCAAAAUAG